GAUUUAGACUUUUUGUUCGAAGUGUCCACACAGAUGAUUGUUAGCUAAGCAUUUGCUUAGUUAAUUUGCUCUUUAAAAAUUUGGAAAGCUGAUAAAACUUUAAAUUAAGUACUUACUUAGUAAGUGCGAUAUUUAAUUUAGAGUUCUCAAAAUAAAGUAAAGAAAAUUAUGCCGCAUGACGAAAGUUAUGUUGGUAUCUACUUUAGUAUUCAAUAUUUAACUUCUGGCGGAGUUAAAAACUGUCUUUAGCAAUACAAACCAUUUUGGGUUGUAUGGUUAAGUGACUAAGCGUAUACGGUGGAUGCCUUGGC
rnacentral:misc_RNA from 1 species